rnacentral:lncRNA from 1 species
AUAUUUUUAUUUUUUUCCAAAGGGGGAAAAAUGUAGUUGUAUCGUGUUUGUAUGUAGUCUCCUGGCAUUAUCCCUGUGACUCCAUUGAAGUCUGCAUCAACUAAUAGCUCUCGAUCGACGAGCCCUUCUCACUCCUUUAUUCCAGCACCGAGAGUCUCUGCUCGCAGUUCCCUGAAUGAAAAGCAACUCACUGGUAGUGGAGUUCCUCGGAGCAGUAAUGUUCCCACACGUGUUAGUUUGGCAAGCCCCUAUAAUCCUGCAAAUACCAAAUCAUCCAUCAUCUUUACACCCAAAGAGAAACCAAAAUCAAGUAUCGGUAGUACCAAAAGAACAUCUAGUUCGAGUGGAUUCAGUUCAGCCAGAUCGGAAAGAAGUGAUUCCUCAAAUAGCCUGUAUAAUGAUCCUAAGCAAACGACUCUUGAGAAGAAAAUUCCAUCCUCAACAGAUUCAGGACUGCGGAAAAAGCUUAUCAAGACUGGUGAAUCUAAAAUAGCAACAAAAGCUAAUUGUAAAGUUCAACAAAUUAGACCUUUAAGCAAAGCUGCCUUAGAUAAACAAAACGAGCUUACAAACUCCAUAACUUCUGAGACAAGUGAUGAGUCAAGACUUAGCAUUGGCGGUGGCAGCAGCAUACCAAAACCACUAGCAGCAGUUAAAGGAACAAGCAAGCCGACUCAUUGUGUGUCCCCCAUGCCUGUUUUAGAACAAACCACUAUCGUUAUUGAAAAUGAUGAAAGCAUCAAGAAAAAAGAAGAUGACGAUGAAAAGAAAGCGAAAGAAGAAAUAAAAGAAACCGAGAAGGUAAUAUUUGGUGUGGAAUGUCCAUUUGAUAGUGUAAAGUAUAAAAGAUCCAAAAUAAAACAGGAAAAUACUAGAGUUGGGUUGGGUAUCCGGCGAUGAUGCGGAUUGGCGGAUACAAUUUUCGCGGGUAUCCGUAUCUGGC